AGAGUUUGAUCCUGGCUCAGAAUGAACGUUGGCGGCGUGCUUAACACAUGCAAGUCGAACGAGAAAGUCCCUUCGGGGGCGAGUAAAGUGGCGAACGGGUGCGUAACACGUAGGAAUCUGCCCUUCUGUGAAGGAUACCUUCGAGAAAUCGAAGCUAAUACUGCAUAAGUCCCUUCGGGGAGAAAGACGGCCUCUUGCUGUCGCAGAAGGAUGAGCCUGCGGACUAUUAGUUUGUUGGUGAGGUAAAAGCUCACCAAGACUGUGAUGGUUAGCCGGCCUGAGAGGGUGGACGGCCACACUGGGACUGAGAUACGGCCCAGACUCCUACGGGAGGCAGCAGUGGGGAAUAUUGCACAAUGGGCGAAAGCCUGAUGCAGCGACGCCGCGUGGAGGAUGACGGUCUUCGGAUUGUAAACUCCUGUUAAGUGGGAAGAAAUCUUUGUGAAUAAUACGCACAGAGGAUGACGGUACCACUAGAGAAAGCUCCGGCUAACUUCGUGCCAGCAGCCGCGGUAAUACGAAGGGAGCGAACGUUAUUCGGAAUUACUGGGCGUAAAGAGCGUGUAGGCGGUUAAUUAGGUCAGUUGUUAAAUUUCCCAGCUCAACUGGGAGUCGGCAAUUGAAACUGGUUGACUAGAGGGCAAGAGAGAGA
rnacentral:rRNA from 1 species